rnacentral:rRNA from 1 species
AUUGAACGCUGGCGGCAGGCCUAACACAUGCAAGUCGAGCGGAUGAAGGGAGCUUGCUCCUGGAUUCAGCGGCGGACGGGUGAGUAAUGCCUAGGAAUCUGCCUGGUAGUGGGGGAUAACGUCCGUAAACGGGCGCUAAUACCGCAUACGUCCUGAGGUAGAAAGUGGGGGAUCUUCGGACCUCACGCUAUCAGAUGAGCCUAGGUCGGAUUAGCUAGUUGGUGGGGUAAAGGCCUACCAAGGCGACGAUCCGUAACUGGUCUGAGAGGAGGAUCAGUCACACUGGAACUGAAACACGGUCCAGACUCCUACGGGAGGCAGCAGUGGGGAAUAUUGGACAAUGGGCGAAAGCCUGAUCCAGCCAUGCCGCGUGUGUGAAGAAGGUCUUCGGAUUGUAAAGCACUUUAAGUUGGGAGGAAGGGAAGUAAGUUAAUACCUUGCUGUUUUGACGUUACCAACAGAAUAAGCACCGGCUAACUUCGUG